GGUGGGGAUGACGUCAAAUCAUCAUGCCCCUUAUGACCUGGGCUACACACGUGCUACAAUGGACAGAACAAAGGGCAGCGAAACCGCGAGGUUAAGCCAAUCCCACAAAUCUGUUCUCAGUUCGGAUCGCAGUCUGCAACUCGACUGCGUGAAGCUGGAAUCGCUAGUAAUCGCGGAUCAGCAUGCCGCGGUGAAUACGUUCCCGGGCCUUGUACACACCGCCCGUCACACCACGAGAGUUUGUAACACCCGAAGUCGGUGAGGUAACCUUUAUGGAGCCAGCCGCCGAAGGUGGGACAGAUGAUUG
rnacentral:rRNA from 1 species